ensembl:lncRNA
AACAUGGGAAGACAGGAACAUGGAAACUGGGAGACAGGAAUACAGAAACUGGGAGACAGGAAUACAGAAACUGGGAGACAGGAAUACAGAAACUGGGAGACAGGAAUACAGAAACUGGGAGACAGGAAUACUGAAACUGGGAGACAGGAAUACAGAAACUGGGAGACAGGAAUACUGAAACUGGGAGACAGGAAUACUGAAACUGGGAGACAACUGGGAGGCAGGAAUCCUGAAACUGGGAGACAGGAAUACAGAAACUGGGAGGUAGGAAUCCUGAAACUGGGAGGCAGGAAUACAGAAACUGGGAGGCAGGAAUACAGAAACUGGGAG